AGCGAACGCUGGCGGCAGGCCUAACACAUGCAAGUCGAACGGAUCCUUCGGGAUUAGUGGCGGACGGGUGAGUAACACGUGGGAACGUGCCCUUUGGUUCGGAACAACUCAGGGAAACUUGAGCUAAUACCGGAUGUGCCCUUCGGGGAAGGAUUAUCGCCAUUGGAGCGGCCCGCGUCUGAUUAGCUAGUUGGUGAGGUAAAGGCUCACCAAGGCGACGAUCAGUAGCUGGUCUGAGAGGAUGAUCAGCCACAUUGGGACGUGAGACACGGCCCAAACUACCUACGGGAGGGCAGCAGUGGGGGAAGUCCUUUGCGGCAAUGGGCGAAAGCCUGACGCAGCCAUGCCGCGUGAAUGAUGAAGGUCCUUAGGAUUGUAAAAUUACUUUUCACCGGGGACGAUAAUGACGGUACCCGGAGAAGAAGCCCCGGCUAACUUCGUG
rnacentral:rRNA from 1 species